AAUGAUUAUAAUAAAGAUAUGGAUAAGAUCCGUGUGCAAUUUUCCACACCACCUUGGCUAUCGAAAAACGCCAAUGAAAUAUUAUUACGAGUAUUUGACGUUAUUCGAAAAGCGUAUGAGGUUUUGCACGAGGCGCGUUUUUUUUAUAGUGGUGUCCCCGAGUAGGCCUAAUCCACUGUGUCGAUUAACCUAACCUUACCUUAAAUCCAUAAUAUUACACUCUAUAAUGUAAUACGAUCACUGAAUUCUCGUUCCUUGAAGUCAUCCGCAGCUACCAGCAAUCUUGGCUCGAAGAGUUCGCGUGCAAAUAAACCGAUAAAAAACCAUAAAAGAAAAAAAAGAUUUACGAAAAGAUAGA